rnacentral:rRNA from 1 species
CAGCAGCCGCGGUAAUACGUAGGUCCCGAGCGUUGUCCGGAUUUAUUGGGCGUAAAGCGAGCGCAGGCGGUUGAUAAGUCUGAAGUUAAAGGCUGUGGCUUAACCAUAGUACGCUUUGGAAACUGUUUAACUUGAGUGCAAGAGGGGAGAGUGGAAUUCCAUGUGUAGCGGUAAAAUGCGUAGAUAUAUGGAGGAACACCGGUGGCGAAAGCGGCUCUCUGGCUUGUAACUGACGCUGAGGCUCGAAAGCGUGGGGCGCAAACAGGAUUAGAUACCCGGGUAGUCCCUGUCUCUUAUACAC